rnacentral:rRNA from 1 species
AUGUCAAGCUCUGGCAGCCACUCAGGCUCCGACCUCGACGUCGAGGAGGAGCUGGCCCUCCUCAUUCUGCCGGAGCGAUCCAAGGUGGACACGGGUGGCAGCUCUGGAUCUACAUCGUCACCGCUCCCGAGCCGGCGCAGCACGAACAUCGAAGCUGGCCCCUCCCGGCCCGCGCGCAGCUCUGCGACGGUUGCGCAGUCUGCUUCGCCACCACACCGUUCCCUUCCUCCGCCGGCCGCUGCUCCGUGCGGGCAGCGGUGGGUGCUAGUGCCUGCUCCAGUGGCCCGCAUGCGCACGCCGAAAACGAAGGCGCGCGCCGCUCGCCGUGAGGCACGCCUUUUCUCGGAACGGCUCGGCAUCCCCGAUGUCCGGUUUGCCGGGUGUGCUUCUGGCACCGUGUUCGUCGUCUUCCUUCGGGAGGCGGAGCAAGCGGCCGCCAUGAGGGCCAGCCCCUUGGAAACUGACACACGCCGGGUGGAUAUCCUUCCUCAUAAUGCCGGUGACAACUCCUUCACCUUCUCGUUCCGCCACAUAGUAAGCAUGUCCUUAGAAAAAAUGCCGCUAGAGCUGUGGGAUCGCAGGGGUGUUUCAUCAAGCAUUGCUGGUUUUGCUAGCAUGCUUGGCCUGAGCCACACCUGCCUGCAUGGAAACGAUUUCUCAUGCAUCCUCGUCCUUGCCAAAGUGGAGGCACUGCAGCACAUCCCGCACCACCUAGCUUUCCACCGCAUCGACGGUGCCGGCAUCUAUGCCGAUGUCAUCAUCAAUGAAGUCUGGGACGUGGCACGCACGCUGGGCCUCCCUUCCUCCCCUCCCUUACCACCCAACACCUACCAUCCCGACAACGGCGACAUCGGUCCAAGCCGCGGGAUCCGCCGUGGACAUGCAAACCCACGCGCUGAUAUUCUCGCCAUGAUCAAGCUAUCGGCUAAACCUAGAAUCCGCAAAGUUGACACCUUCGCCAUUCCCACGAUCGAGGAAGUGGCUCAUGAGGAUGAGGGUCGGCUCUGUCUCAAAUCCGUUUUGCUAGCCACCAAGGUCAGGCGGCCACAUGUCGAGGCCGCCUUCAACGCAGACACUGUUAAACUAAGCAACAGUCGCUCCGCUUCUGGCAUUGUGGUCGUCGGCCCAGCCAGCAAGGAUCACAGCCAUUUCAUUUGCUUUGACCUCAAUCUGGGGAAGGUUGAGCAUCACACAUGCCGCUCCAUCCUUUUCAAGCUCUGGCCUAAAACCCUCUCCGGCGAAUUAUGUUCCCGCACCCUGCCUUUGCUGCCCUCAGUUGAAUGCAAAUACCCGCCAAAAGCCUUCGUCCCGAAUUCAUUGAUCCCUGAUGCUGGGCCGCUUCUCACACUUUCGGAGCCCACCCCAAGGGUUGUUUUUCUCUGCAUAAGUGUUGCAUUGUACUCUGUCAUGUCUGUGUUUGGCCCUGUCGGGCCCUGUAUCUGCAUUGUGAUGCAUGCCGUCACUGCAUUAGUUGUUGUUCCUCAAGCUAUGGGACUUGGUGACACUGACAAAUGCUCUUUGGUCAAAGAUGCACUCUUUUCUAGCCGAUCGAGCGUUAUAUGCCUGCAGGAGACUAAAUUGCAGGUCAUGGACAAGAGGAAGGCAGCAUCCUUCCUACCUUCAAACCACAAAUCUUUCAUCUACAUGCCAGCAUGCGGCACAGCAGGAGGACUUCUUGUAGCUUGGGAUGAUAGUGUGCUUCAUGGCUCAGAAAUAGCAAAACACCGUUUCAGUAUAUCAAUCAGUUUUCAGUCUACAAGCAACAAUGACAGCUUUGUUCUCUCCACUGUAUAUGCCCCGUGUGAUGAAGAGGAGAGGGAUGAGUUUUUUGCGGUUAUGAGCCAAAUAGCCGAGCUGGUUACAGGACCAUGGAUCGUUCUAGGUGAUUUCAAUAUGUAUAGGUUUGCACAUGAAAAAUCACAAGGAAGAAGGAACUGGACUCUGAUGGACAGGUUCAACUCAUGGAUUAGAGAGCAUGCUCUUGAUGACAUCGGUAUCGUUAACAGGAGUUUCACCUGGUCCAAUAAGCGAGAGGAGCCAACGCUGAUCAAGCUUGAUCGAGUCCUGAACAAAAUCAAGCUCUUGGUUAAGGAUGGCGUAGACUUCUACAGGGAUCAUGACAAGCUACAGAUUGCAACUGAAUUCUUUACACAGAUCCUUGGAGAAAGCUCAACUUUUAUGCCAGUCCUGGACCCCUCCCAGCUCUAUGACCCAGUUGACCUGUCGGCUCUGGAGGUGCCCUUCACUUGGGCCGAAAUUGCAACAGCUAUUCAACAUGCACCAAGCAACAGGAGCCCUGGGCCAGAUGGUUUCACAAGUGAAGCCCUGUCCCCGUACCUCUUCAUACUGGUCGCGGAUAUUCUCCAACAACUUUGCCAAAAAGAGUACCGGGAGGGGAACCUUGUGCACCCCUUGGGAGUAGACGGGCCCCUCCCAAUCCUGCAGUACGCGGAUGACACGCUGAUCUUGUUGAAAGGAGACGCCCAACAAGCGGCUAUUAUCAAGCGGGUUUUGGAAGAUUUCAGCAACUUCACUGGUCUAAAGAUUAAUUAUCACAAGAGUACUUUUGUUCCUAUUUGUUUGGACCAGCAAGCUUCUCAGGAUAUUGCCAAUGUGCUGAACUGCCAGGUUGCAGCCUUCCCUUGCACCUACCUGGGAUUACCACUCUGUCUUAGCAAGAUACAACAUGGUCUACUGAUGCCUGUGAUUCACAAGGUGGAUAAGCGCUUGUCUGGCUGGCUUGCAACCUUCCUAUCCUGGGGUGGGCGUCUCACGUUGAUUAAUGCUGUCCUGGCAGCCAUCCCUAACUACUACAUGGGCUGCUUCUUAUGGCCAAAUCAGUCUUUGGAGAAAGUUGAUCAAAUUUUGCGGGGUUUUCUAUGGCAAGGAAAGAAUAAGGCCAAUGGGGGGCACUGCCUGGUAGCUUGGGAUGUGGUCACGAUGCCAAAGGAGAAUGGAGGGCUGGGGGUGCGAAACCUUGCAGCACACAAUAAGGCCUUGAAGGAUUUAUCCUCGAACCCUCUCAAUCGAGACACUGCUAUCUGGAAAGGCUUUCGAACCACCAUGCAGUUGGUGAUGGAAGCCUCCAAGUGCAACAUUGGGAGCGGCCAAAGCAUUGCUUUCUGGUAUGAUCAUUGGUUAGACUCCGGUCGGCCGAUGAGUGUUUUCCCGACGCUUUUUACCUUCUGUGUCGCCAAGUUUUGCACGGUUGCUUCACAGUUCAGAGAUGGCCAAUGGAGCCUCCAGCUUCAUCCAAAUUUAUCCUUCACGGCCGCAGAGGAGUUGGAAGCACUUCAAGAAAUCUUGAGUAGUGUGCAGCCCCAAGCUAAUGCAGUUGACACCAGAGUGCCACUGCUCACUGACAAGAGUUUGAGCACUGCCUAUUUCUACAAGCUACUUGUUUUUCGAGGGUUGCAAGAGUUGGCAACAUCCACUACAGAGCUUGAAUCCUUUCUAUGUUCUGAUCAACCGACGGCAAUACAUGGCAAGCUGUGGCAUAUACUGUUCGCGGCGUGUGCGGUCACUCUGUGGGAUGCCAGGAACGCUCGAGUCUUUGAGGAAUCCUUCUGGCAGGAGCGGCAAGUAUACACUCGGCUCAUCGAGUUGAUCCAGUUAUGGAGCCUGCGCGCCCCGCAGCAUUUUAGGCAGAACUUGUUGCUCUGGACAAAUGCUCUUACUCCAAAUUAG